rnacentral:lncRNA from 1 species
GGUUGUUGUCAUGGUGAGGGCGGAGGAGAAAACAUGGCGUCAGAUUCAAACAGACGCUGAGGGGGUUUAUAAUAACACGGAUUUAAGUGUUUUUAUUUCGCUUAACUUCGAUAUUUCAUCAAACACUGAUGUGCGAGCACCGCAGGCCUUCAAAUAACCUCAGAAGCGUAGCGUCACGCUGACCUCAUGUCCACAGAGCCGCCUGCCGCUCGUCCACGCCGUGGCAGUCGGACCAAACGUAAAGACCCUGUCUCCACCCUGCGGGCGUCUCACCCGCGAGCCGCGGCGCCGUCUGCGCAGAACUCACCGGAGGAGAUCGACAGGCUCAGGGACGUGAUCGGUCGGCUGCAGAGAGACAGACGGGACGCUGAGAGAGAGACGGGAGAGGAUUUUACUCUCUCAGCUGAGCUGAGGUGGACGAUUAACCAGCUGGAAAAGGAGAAACUGGAUUUCGCUUCCAAGCACAAUGAAGAGGUACGUCACGCUGUCCGUCAGAUGGCAGAUUAAUGAACAAACACAUGCAUUUGGCAGAUGCGAGCGACGUGCAUUGCAUUGAAAGUUUACUUUUGAUCAGUUCAUCCGUUCUUUGGGAAAUUAACCCAUGACUUUACUGUAUAUCCC